rnacentral:rRNA from 1 species
AACGAACGCUGGCGGCACGCCUAACACAUGCAAGUCGAACGGACCCUUCGGGGUUAGUGGCGGACGGGUGAGUAACGCGUGAGAAUCUGCCUUCAGGUCUGGGACAACAGAAGGAAACUUCUGCUAAUCCGGGAUGAGCCUUUUGGUAAAAGAUAAAUUGCCUGGAGAUGAGCUCGCGUCCGAUUAGCUAGUUGGUGUGGUAAAAGCAUACCAAGGCAACGAUCAGUAGCUGGUCUGAGAGGAUGAGCAGCCACACUGGGACUGAGACACGGCCCAGACUCCUACGGGAGGCAGCAGUGGGGAAUUUUCCGCAAUGGGCGAAAGCCUGACGGAGCAAGACCGCGUGGGGGAGGAGGCUCUAGGGUUGUAAACCCCUUUUCUUUGGGAAGAAGAAAGUGACGGUACCAAGGAUCAGCCUCGGCUAACUCCGUGCCAGCCGCCG